UCAUGAAGUCAUCAAGACCAUGAACCCACCAGAGGGAAAAAACUCUGGACACCUCUAAACCUCUGGAGGAACAAAGUCCCGGCACACCAUCUUUAAGAACUGUAACUCACUGCGAGGGUCUGCGGCUUCAUUCUUGAAGUCAGUGAGACCAAGAACCUACCACAAGGAACCAAUUCUGGACACACUAGUGUUGUUGGAUCUGAAUCUGUCCCCAGCAGUUACAUGGUGGAGUGAGUGAAAGUGCUGGAACCCACAUGAUAAAACUAAACAAGGUUACAGUCCUGAUGUUGGUUGUGCUGCAUUGUCAUCUGGUGGCUCACUUGGGAGAGAAAAACUGUUCCCAGUCUCAUUAAUCCUAUAUGAAUAGAAAUACAAGGAAAACAUGAUUUAACAGUAGGGAAACAUAAAGAAGAUACAACAAUUUUAUUUCUCCUGGUGAUGUUUCUUUGCAAGUGGCUUUGGUCAAAGAGAAGGUCAAUGAGAAUGUCUGGAAAAUGGAUUCCAUCUGUUCACAAGAGUACAUGAAGAGGGGAAGGUUGUCAUUGUGUACAGACUGGAGAAUCAGACCUAAACAAAACCCAGAG
rnacentral:lncRNA from 1 species